rnacentral:rRNA from 1 species
GAUGAACGCUGGCGGCAUGGAUUAGGCAUGCAAGUCGUGCGGCAGCAGGCCCUUCGGGUGCUGGCGAGCGGCGAAAGGGAGAGUAACAGGUAGAUACGUGCCCUUGGGACCAGGAUAGCGUCGGGAAACUGGCGGUAAUACUGGAUAAUAUCUCCGGAUCAAAUGGUGUGAUUCCGCCCAAGGAUCGGUCUGCUUCCUUUUAGCUUGUUGGUGAGGUAAUGGCUCACCAAGGCUGACAUGGGUACCGGGUGUGAGAGCAUGGCCCGGCUCACUGGGACUGAGACACGGCCCAGACUCCUACGGGAGGCAGCAGUGGGGAAUCUUGGAC